AUGGCGCGCCGGGCGUUGGGGCUGAAGCAGCUGCGGCGGAUCUCGCCGACGUUCCCGCCGGGCCUCGGCGCGGUGGCGAGCUUGGCCAUGGACUUGGCGAACUGCGCGAAGAAGGCGUCCUUGCUCUGCGCGAACUGCCUCACGAUGGGUGCCGUGGUGCGGUCCUUGAUGAGCGCCAUGUCGGAGGUGAACACACCCUGGCUGUUCACCAGCGCCGCUGAGCCCGGUCGCGGAAGAACGGGCAGCCCGUCCUCCCGACGGUGUGCGCGCCGGAGAGCGCCACGAGGUCGGCCAGGUCGCGGAGGAGGCGGGCGGCGAGCGCCACCUCGCGUUGGAGCGCCGCCUGCACGGAGGACAGCACGAUGCUCUCCAGCUGCGGGCACGUCGCCGAGUGGAAGCCGGCGCCGUCCAGAGGGGCGGACAGUGCGGGGGAGAGCAGAACGGCGACGGUAA
rnacentral:rRNA from 1 species